UACGUAGGGGGCAAGCGUUGUCCGGAAUUACUGGGCGUAAAGGGCUGGUAGGCGGCCAACUAAGUCGGAUGUGAAAUCCCCAGGCUCAACCUGGGAACUGCGUCUGAUACUGGAUGGCUUGAAUCCGGGAGAGGGAUGCAGAAUUCCAGGUGUAGCGGUGAAAUGCGUAGAUAUCAGGAGGAACACCAAUGGCGAAGGCAGCUCGCUAAACUGUAACUGACGCUGAGGCACGAAAGCGUGGGGAUCAAACAGG
rnacentral:rRNA from 1 species